rnacentral:rRNA from 1 species
ACUCCUACGGGAGGCAGCAGUAGGGAAUCUUUGGCAAUGGGGGCAACCCUGACCGAGCAACGCCGCGUGAGUGAAGAAGGUUUUCGGAUCGUAAAACUCUGUUGUUAGAGAAGAACGUUAAGUAGAGUGGAAAAUUACUUAAGUGACGGUAUCUAACCAGAAAGGGACGGCUAACUACGUGCCAGCAGCCGCGGUAAA